rnacentral:rRNA from 1 species
AUACGGAGGAUCCAAGCGUUAUCCGGAAUCAUUGGGUUUAAAGGGUCCGUAGGCGGGUUUGUAAGUCAGUGGUGAAAGUUUUCGGCUCAACCGGAAAAUUGCCAUUGAUACUGCAAGUCUUGAAUCAUGAUGAAGUGGUUAGAAUGUGUAGUGUAGCGGUGAAAUGCAUAGAUAUUACACAGAAUACCGAUUGCGAAGGCAGAUCACUAAUAAUGUAUUGACGCUAAGGGACGAAAGCGUGGGUAGCGAACAGUAUUAGAAACCCCGGUAGUCC